UUAUUAGAUUAUAUUAAGACUACGUUUGUUACUUUAAUGUUUGUAUAAAUGGGCAGGCGCUCUAAUCAUUUCGUUUUCAAGACAGCCUUACAGUUCACAGGUGUUAUGGAUAUGAUUUGAUGCUAGGGACUCCGAAGAGUUCCGCUAACAUAUUUAAUUCACUAAUGAUCCUUCCGCAGGUUCACCUACGGAAA
rnacentral:misc_RNA from 1 species